rnacentral:rRNA from 1 species
UACAGAGGGUGCAAACGUUGCUCGGAAUCAUUGGGCGUAAAGCGCACGUAGGCGGUCUGAUAAGUCGGAUGUGAAAGCCCUGGGCUCAACCCAGGAAGUGCAUUCGAAACUGCCAGACUUGAAUAUGGAAGAGGGUCGCGGAAUUCCCGGUGUAGAGGUGAAAUUCGUAGAUAUCGGGAGGAACACCAGUGGCGAAGGCGGCGACCUGGGCCAAUAUUGACGCUGAGGUGCGAAAGCUAGGGGAGCAAACGGG